UACGUAGGGGGCAAGCGUUGUCCGGAUUUAUUGGGCGUAAAGAGCGUGUAGGCGGCCAUACAGGUCAGCUGUGAAAACUCGAGGCUCAACCUCGAGACGUCGGUUGAAACCACCUGGCUAGAGUCCGGAAGAGGAGAGUGGAAUUCCUGGUGUAGCGGUGAAAUGCGCAGAUAUCAGGAAGAACACCCGUGGCGAAGGCGGCUCUCUGGGACGGUACUGACGCUGAGGUGCGAAAGCGUGGGGAGCAAACAGG
rnacentral:rRNA from 1 species